ACGGGAGGAAGAUGGAAGAGGGUCCAAACUCGACAUGUAAAAUCUACCUAUUAAUUAAUUUUUGGUGUCGGUAUUUGGCUUUAAUUCAAAAUAAUAAAUAAUUAAUUAUUCUAACAAAAUAUCAUGGUGUUAGACCAUGUUGGCAUGUUAUUAAGGUUAAAAAAGGAGGAGAGAAUAAUGAAGAUGGGUCUAAUGAUCAUUCGGUGGAGGAUGAUCACACCA
rnacentral:lncRNA from 1 species